GAGGGUAUAGCUCAGUGGCAGAGUACCUCCUUGGCAGGCACCAGGUCCUGGGUUCAACCCCAGUACCUCCA
rnacentral:tRNA from 1 species